rnacentral:rRNA from 1 species
GACGAACGCUGGCGGCGUGCUUAACACAUGCAAGUCGAACGAAGUGGGAACGGGUGAGUAAUACGUGGGUAACCUCCCUCCUUUUUGGGAUAAGCCUUGGAAACGGGGUCUAAACCGAAUAGAUGGGCUCGCGGCCUAUCAGCUUGUUGGUGGGGUGAUGGCCUACCAAGGCGGUGACGGGUAGCCGGCCUGAGAGGGUUACCGGCCACAUUGGGCCUGGGAUGCGUCCCAGACUCCUCCGGGAGGCAGCAGUGGGGAAUCUUCCGCAAUGGACGAAAGUCUGACGGAGCAACGCCGCGUGAGUGAUGACGGCCUUCGGGUUGUACAGCUCUGUUAAUCGGGACGCGGUACCGGAAUAGAAAGCCACGGCUAACUACGUGCCAGCAGCCGCGGUAAUAC